UACGGAGGAGGCAAGCGUUAUCCGGAAUUAUUGGGCGUAAAGCGUCCGCAGGUGGCACUUCAAGUCUGUCGUCAAAGACUGGGGCUUAACCCCGGAAAGGCGGUGGAAACUGAAGCGCUAGAGUGCGGUAGGGGUAGAGGGAAUUCCCGGUGUAGCGGUGAAAUGCGUAGAGAUCGGGAAGAACAUCGGUGGCGAAAGCGGCGCACUGGACCAUAACUGACGCUGAGGCGCGAAAGCUAGGGGAGCAAACAGG
rnacentral:rRNA from 1 species